CAAUUCUACUGUGGGACCAGAAGGGGUGGAGCCUGUCUGCACCUCUGUUAGAUCCCCAUUUAAGGCCCGACUGCCACUAUGGAAAGACAUCUGAUUGGAGAUUUCUCUUCUGAGGAGUUUUCCUUAUAAGCCUCAAUCUUCAGAGAUGGGGCUAGAAGCUGCACCAGAGGAAAGGCUCCCUCCAGAAGAAAGAAACGAGAGAGGAAAAAACUGCUGCCUCCUUUCUGGGGAUUGAAAUGGAGCCAUGGUGGUCCUAUGGUCUGACCGGAGAAAGCCUACAGUACAGCCAGUAUUUUACCAUCCCAGAAGCUGAAGUGAGUUCAGAGGAUAGAUAUUGCUUCCUUCUGCCAACAGUUGUGCUGCAAAGAGGGCUGUCCCUGUGCUUAUCCUGACAGAAACAUCAAAUUGAGAGAGUUUGGAGAAGCUGAAAUUUUUAUGGUUGUGAAGCAUUCUGGUAUCCAUGCCCUCAUUCUGUUUAAAUCAGGACACUCCAACUCUAGCCUCUUUGCUAACAGACCAUAGCUUUCUCAUCCCCAAGCUCUGUAUCUUGCAGAGCCACUCGAGGCCUUUCUCAAAACAAAUCUUGCUCAGGGAUUAGGCCCUGAGAUCCAGUUGAGCACAGUUCAUUUUCUUUUAAAUGCAUUCAGUGGAUAUUCCAAAGCAGUUUUUGAUGGUAGACAUCUGUGCUGCUCACACACACCCAGGACAGCUCAGAGCAGGAUUGUCUGUGCUCAGAACUGAUGGUUGGUAGCAACUCUCAAAGCCCUGAACACUGCAUAGCAGCAGAAGCUGUCACUGCCAGAACUUUCUUCACUGCAGGGAGCUCUGUAAGUAACAUUCAGCCUAAUUUAGAAGAAAAAUGAGUUGAAUUUGCAGCAAGAGUGACUUUUCUAUAGUAGCCAAUGAAGUGGUGCUCCAGGCAGUGCUAAGAUCUCACCUGGGGCUGUGUGCAGUGACUGUGGGGACUGGGAUGGAAAUUGUUGGACAUAAAGGACAGGCUCAGAGUUGGUGAUGGAAACACAGCACAGUGGAUCACUUGCCAGGAAAUCAAGUGUUGCUUUAUCCCUCUGGAGUCAGGACUGGCUUCUUUUCUGAUAUAUUUACUAAUUUAUUUAGCUUUCCUAAUUCAUUUAUUGCCAGGUACAGAACAGUCCUUGUCUAAAAGUUCUUGUGUUUAAAGUGUCUUUAGGUUUCUCCACUGUUUUAUGCCUUCAUAACAGGUGCUUUCUAUUGCCCUCCCUGUAAGCCACUGUGGGACCUGUGACAAGUGCAUGCUGAUGCUGUAAUACUGCAAGUCUGUUUUGAUUUGAAGCAGAAGAAUCAGACAGUGUAAAGAGAUUUCAGCAGCAGAACACCGUAACUCUACUCUCUGUCUUAUUUUCCUCAGCAGAGUGGAGCAAACAGUGAGCACUGUUUUGAAUUUUAAGCCCAAACCACGAAUUUCAGGGAUAUAAAAUGAUUUGAUAUGAAGGGAUCCUUACAGCCCCGCUCCUGCUGUGGGAACAAAAGAACCUCAGAAUCACAAAGGGAAGCCAGAAAAGCUUAGUUAAGCCCUAAUGAUUGCUGAAGGAAACCAGUAAAACUAAAAGGGGGAACGAGCCCCACUAUAAAGCCACCCACCCGCUCCCACCUGAUGGGGCUGCUCUGUGGCCUGUGGUUUUGAGUGCCCCAUCCUGCCCCUCCCGAGGGGAUGCAGUGGCAGAGGUUUUGCUGUCUUUUGCAGGGCAGAGGGACCGCUUGGCAGGAAAUGAAUUUCCCAGUCGGCAUUAACUGGGGAGAAAAACUGGUCAUGGAGUUUCCCACAGCUGCACCGAAGCAAAAUAAGUCAUGCAAACACGUGGAAGUGUUCAGAACUGUGGGCCUUUCAUGGCACCUUCUGACUGCACAGGAUGUCCUUCUGAACCAAUGUCUCACCUCUUCUUCACCAGCCUGGUGUCCAGGCAUCCCCCCAUCUGCUGCUUUUGCAUAUAUAUGGUUGUUCCUUUGAGUUUCUCAGCCCUGCAGCUGGGAUUGUCAUUAACUGGUGU